GAUGAACGCUGGCGGCGUGCCUAAUACAUGCAAGUCGAGCGAACAGACGAGGAGCUUGCUCCUCUGACGUUAGCGGCGGACGGGUGAGUAACACGUGGAUACCCUACCUAUAAGACUGGGAUAACUUCGGGAAACCGGAGCUAAUACCGGAUAAUAUAUUGAACCGCAUGGUUCAAUAGUGAAAGACGGUUUUGCUGUCACUUAUAGAUGGAUCCGCGCCGCAUUAGCUAGUUGGUAAGGUAACGGCUUACCAAGGCAACGAUGCGUAGCCGACCUGGGAGGGUGAUCGGCCACACUGGAACUGAGACACGGUCCAGACUCCUACGGGAGGCAGCAGUAGGGAAUCUUCCGCAAUGGGCGAAAGCCUGACGGAGCAACGCCGCGUGAGUGAUGAAGGUCUUCGGAUCGUAAAACUCUGUUAUUAGGGAAGAACAAAUGUGUAAGUAACUAUGCACGUCUUGACGGUACCUAAUCAGAAAGCCACGGCUAACUACGUG
rnacentral:rRNA from 1 species